rnacentral:rRNA from 1 species
CAGCACCUCAAGUGGUCAGGAUGAUUAUUGGGCCUAAAGCAUCCGUAGCCGGCGCUGUAAGUUUUCGGUUAAAUCUGUACGCUCAACGUACAGGCUGCCGGGAAUACUGCAGCGCUAGGGAGUGGGAGAGGUAGACGGUACUCGGUAGGAAGGGGUAAAAUCCUUUGAUCUAUUGAUGACCACCUGUGGCGAUGGCGGUCUACCAGAACACGUCCGACGGUGAGGGAUGAAAGCUGGGGGAGCAAACCGGAUUAGAUACCCGAGUAGUCC